rnacentral:lncRNA from 1 species
CAUCAUAUACAUCAAAUAAGAAAAAUAAAAAAUAAUUAUUUAGGAUAUGCAUAAUGUAUAUAAGAAAAAUAAAACAUCAUAUACAUUUAUUUAGGACAAUUCAUAAUUUUAAGAAAAAUAAAACAUUAUGUACAUUUAUCUAGGACAAUUAAUAGUUAAUAAUUAUUUAUGACAAUUAGUAAGUAUUUAGGAUAAUUAAUAAUUAAUAAUACAUCAUAUAUAUUUAUUUAGAACAAUUAAUAAUUAUUUAUAACAAUUAUACAUCAUAUACAUCAAAUAAGAAAAAUAAAAAAUAAAAAAAUAAAACAAUGGCCGCUGGUGGGCCGGCCCAGCUGGGCAGGCGGCCCACCGACCCCUGCCCCUCCCCCUCCCUCUCACCCUCGCCCUCUGCGCAAGGCCGCCGCCGCUGCCGCCCCCCGCCUCCCAACGCCGCCUCG